rnacentral:rRNA from 1 species
AUUGAACGCUGGCGGCAGGCCUAACACAUGCAAGUCGAGCGGAUGAAGGGAGCUUGCUCCUGGAUUCAGCGGCGGACGGGUGAGUAAUGCCUAGGAAUCUGCCUGGUAGUGGGGGAUAACGUCCGGAAACGGGCGCUAAUACCGCAUACGUCCUGAGGGAGAAAGUGGGGGAUCUUCGGACCUCACGCUAUCAGAUGAGCCUAGGUCGGAUUAGCUAGUUGGUGGGGUAAAGGCCUACCAAGGCGACGAUCCGUAACUGGUCUGAGAGGAUGAUCAGUCACACUGGAACUGAGACGCGGUCCAAACUCCUACGGGAGGCAGCAGUGGCGAAUAUUGGACAGUGGGCGAAAGCCUGGUCCAGCGAUGCCGCGCGUGUUAAGAAGGUCUUCGGAUUGUAAAGCACUUUAAGUUGGUAGAAAGGGCAGUAACUUAAUACCUUGCUGUUUUGACGUUACCAACAGAAUAAGCACCGGCUAACUUCGUG